GACGAACGCUGGCGGCGUGCCUAAUACAUGCAAGUAGAACGCUGAAGGAGGAGCUUGCUUCUCCGGAUGAGUUGCGAACGGGUGAGUAACGCGUAGGUAACCUGCCUGGUAGCGGGGGAUAACUAUUGGAAACGAUAGCUAAUACCGCAUAAUAGCAGUUAUUGCAUGAUAACUGUUUGAAAGGUGCAAUUGCACCACUACCAGAUGGACCUGCGUUGUAUUAGCUAGUUGGUGGGGUAACGGCUCACCAAGGCGACGAUACAUAGCCGACCUGAGAGGGUGAUCGGCCACACUGGGACUGAGACACGGCCCAGACUCCUACGGGAGGCAGCAGUAGGGAAUCUUCGGCAAUGGACGGAAGUCUGACCGAGCAACGCCGCGUGAGUGAAGAAGGUUUUCGGAUCGUAAAGCUCUGUUGUAAGAGAAGAACGAGUGUGAGAGUGGAAAGUUCACACUGGA
rnacentral:rRNA from 1 species